UCGUCGUUGGAAGUAUAGCAAUAGCGAUGAAACUAUCACUUCGAUAUGUUGUCCGGCAUCAGUUUUGAGCUAGAACGAUGAAAGGACAUAUACGUCAGACAACCAUGAAGAUAGAACACGGAGGUUCAUCCGAGCUUUGUUACUAACUAGGAAGUAAGUAACACAAGAGGAAAUUAAAAGGCCGCGCCAGCAUUAAAAAUUAAACGUAGAAUUCAUUUUACAAAUGUUUUGUAACUGGAUUCGAGCUUGUUGCCAAAUGUGGACAAUGGAAAUUGAUCGAUGAUCGAGAAACUAAAAACGUGACUUCGCUUAAGAA